GAUUAUAUCCAAUGCCAAUUACAUGGGCACGCCUUCUGCUACAUUCUAUAAAUCUGAGAAAACAAACACAUUAUGGCCAUGGUCAACGUGGACAGCCCUAGACACUACAGAGCUAUCUAAUAAGGGAACUUGUCUGUGUCGUUUUCGAUUGUGUGACUUAACUUCACAAUAUCUCAAACAUGAUGAAUCCCGCUGCCGGUUAUCCUUAUCCUCCUGGCAAUCCAAUAGGUUUCACUGGUAUGCCGGCUAACCCACAAGGCGUUCCCCAACCUCAGUUCGCAAUGCCUGUUCAGCAGCAGCAGCAGCAGCCGGUUGCUCAAAAUACAACAGUACAGGUCAAUGCCGCCCCUGUUCAGCAGCAGCCUGUUGUCCAGCAUACAAACAUCUGCAUCGAUUCAGGGAACCUUCAAGGUCAACCAAGGGGCCCUGAAUUAAAAAAUGUCGUGGUGGUGGGGCCGGCGGCAAGGAGAGACCAGUAACGGACAAAAUGUGCCCUUUGCGAGGCCACCUGUGUCACUAGUGUCACCUACAAGAAUGGUGCACUUACCUGGGUUCUGUGCGGUGUGCUAGGAAUAUUGGGAAUAUGGCCAUUCUGCUUGAUCCCGCUCUGUUGUGAUAGCUGUAAGGAUGUGGAACAUCGCUGUCCCAACUGCCAAAAUGUCGUGCAUGUACAUAAACGCCUCUCAUAGACGUCAGCAGCAAGACACUUACUGGAAUGUAUGCGAUACCUUCUAAAUCAUUAUAGCAAUGAUGUUUAUCUAUGUAGCCCUUCAUAUUAAAGGAGAAAUCCGGUUUAAAAUGGAUCUGGGAUAUGUUUAAGAUGAUUACGAGAUGGGAUGUUCGUUUGGGAGCACAAAAGCACAUGUAAACGCAUUCUUAAAUAGGCUGUUUUUAGCCGAUUCUACCAAAACGCUAUAAACUAGGAACCAUGGGGGCAUCUUGUCAUGGUAAAAACGAAAACGUUAUUUCAAACAACUUAAAAGGCUAGAUGUAGCCUGACACUUCUUUGAUAGUAUAAUAUGGGUCUUAAAAUAUAAAACGAGUCAUUGAGAACUUUGUAAGUGUACAGAUUGUUUAUUAAAAAGUACAUUUUAUACACACAAUACCAUCAGUAGAUCACCCGUCGACGCCAUUUUGUUUUCAAGACUCGAUAAGUAGAUUGACGAACACAGAGAUUGUGACAUCCGUCAGCAACACACAAGCUCUGUGUUCGUCAAUCUACUUAUCGAGUCUUGAAAACAAAAUGGGGUCGACGGGUGAUCUACUGAUGGUAUUGUGUGUAUAAAAUGUACUUUUUAAUAAACAAUCUGUACACUUACAAA